GAUGAACGCUGGCGGCGUGCCUAAUACAUGCAAGUCGAGCGAACGGACGAGAAGCUUGCUUCUCUGAUGUUAGCGGCGGACGGGUGAGUAACACGUGGAUAACCUACCUAUAAGACUGGGAUAACUUCGGGAAACCGGAGCUAAUACCGGAUAAUAUUUUGAACCGCAUGGUUCAAAAGUGAAAGGCGGUCUUGCUGUCACUUAUAGAUGGAUCCGCGCUGCAUUAGCUAGUUGGUAAGGUAACGGCUUACCAAGGCAACGAUGCAUAGCCGACCUGAGAGGGUGAUCGGCCACACUGGAACUGAGACACGGUCCAGACUCCGACGGGAGGCAGCAGUAGGGAAUCUUCCGCAAUGGGCGAAAGCCUGACGGAGCAACGCCGCGUGAGUGAUGAAGGUCUUCGGAUCGUAAAACUCUGUUAUUAGGGAAGAACAUAUGUGUAAGUAACUGUGCACAUCUUGACGGUACCUAAUCAGAAAGCCACGGCUAACUACGU
rnacentral:rRNA from 1 species